UACGUAGGGCGCAAGCGUUGUCCGGAAUCAUUGGGCGUAAAGCGUGCGCAGGCGGUUCGUUGUGUCGGCGGUGAAAGCCCCGGGCUCAACCUGGGAAUGGCCGUUGAAACUGGCGAACUGGAGUGUGGCAGAGGGGGGUGGAAUUCCGCGUGUAGCAGUGAAAUGCGUAGAUAUGCGGAGGAACACCGAUGGCGAAGGCAAUCCCCUGGGCCUGCACUGACGCUCAUGCACGAAAGCGUGGGGAGCAAACAGG
rnacentral:rRNA from 1 species